UCUCUGCUCCGCUUGUCUCUCUAGGGU
rnacentral:piRNA from 1 species